AAGAAAGAGGCUUGGGGGCGUAUGCUCUUAUAACACAGAGCAAAUGAUUCUCCACUGAGAACACCAUGAAUAUGAAAACCAUGCAACAGAUGCAGUAUGCUGAACAUCAAAUGUUGGGAAACAAAGAUAUGGAGAAGAUUGUGGUUAUUCAACAAGGAUAAUGAGAACCUGAAAUACUACCAUGAUAAAGAAUGUCAGUGGUGCCAACACAAGAGUUUGAUUUUCUCAGAGUUUUAAGAGCUCCUGACUGCCCUCUGAAGCCUGAAUCUUUUAAAGUUCAUGUUUGGAAGCAUCUCUUCAAGUAU